AAAANCUGGAGAGAGAGUCAAAGAGACCGUGAAACCGUUGGGAGGGAAGCGAACGGGUCCAUGACGACUCCAUUCAGGUUCAGGGUGCGCCGGGAGUGGCCUUGCCGCGUUUGGGAGCUCUGUCGAGAGCCGACGUGCGGUCGGAGUCGCCUCGGCGCACCUGCAGUCUCGUUUGGAGUCCGCCAACGGCGGUCGACGGUGUCCCAACAGGUCCGGUGGGGAGGUGAUUCCGCUUUCUCCGGGAGGCGGAAUGCGUAUAGCCCGUCCGGUUCGGAGGGCACCGGCGUCCGAGGUGUGUUGCCGAACGUGGCACGUUGCGGUGCAGGCUCGACCGUUUAGUGGGCCGGCUCGCUCGUGGGUUCGCGUGCUUCGCGGCGGAGCGCUGGCGUCAGUGCCCGUCGACGACAACGUCGCGCUUGCUCUGCGAGGUCGAGCACGAUGUGUGCCGCAGUCGUUGGUGGUCGUAUGGCUCCGUCCGACCCGUCUUGAAACACGGA
rnacentral:rRNA from 1 species